rnacentral:rRNA from 1 species
CCUACGGGAGGCAGCAGUCGAGAAUCAUUCACAAUGGGGGAAACCCUGAUGGUGCGACGCCGCGUGGGGGAAUGAAGGUCUUCGGAUUGUAAACCCCUGUCAUGUGGGAGCAAAUUAAAAAGAUAGUACCACAAGAGGAAGAGACGGCUAACUCUGUGCCAGCAGCCGCGGUAAUACAGAGGUCUCAAGCGUUGUUCGGAAUCACUGGGCGUAAAGCGUGCGGAGGCUGUUUCGUAAGUCGUGUGUGAAAGGCGCGGGCUCAACCCGCGGACGGCACAUGAUACUGCGAGACUAGAGUAAGGGAGGGGGAACCGGAAUUCUCGGUGUAGCAGUGAAAUGCGUAGAUAUCGAGAGGAACACUCGUGGCGAAGGCGGGUUCCUGGACAUUAACUGACGCUGAGGCACGAAGGCCAGGGGAGCGAAAGGGAUUAGAUACCCGAGUAGUC